UUGGAAGAUCUAGUUCUUUUGCUAGACAUGGUGACUUUUCCCAAAAAAUAGGUAAAUUUCAGAAAUGGAUGAAGGGAUUUACAGUGUUGCGUAGCUUGUUGCAGUGACAGAUUUACAGUGGCAAUAGACGUGUGGUGGUGAUAAGCAUAUAGCAGCGAUAGGAAUGUGACAGCGAUAUGGUUGCUCCGGCAAAAGACUCGCUGCGGCAAUAAGCUAAGGUUUUGCGACAAUGGGAGGAAUUUGAGGAGAUUUACGCUAACAGCUAAGAGGAAAAAGAAUGAGUGGCUAGGGUUUAAGUUAAUUGCUUGAGGGGUUGUAAAAAUUAUGGUGGUAGAGAAGGGUUUAUAUAGUGGUGAAUUAAGGCAAAUUUGUAGCAAAAUUUUUUCUACUU
rnacentral:lncRNA from 1 species